rnacentral:lncRNA from 1 species
CCUGGUUACAGCCAGUGGAAGCCCAGGAGGCUGAUUCAACAAAUAUAUUGUCUCCUGGAAACUUCAAAGUUUGGAGAGAAAUUAAACCCCUGUCAGCUAGGAGAUAGUGUCUGUAAGGAACUGCAAGGGAAGAGGAGGCAAACAAAGUGCUUGACAGCAGAGCGAAGGAAAAAAGUGGUAAGUUCAUAUGGGCAAAAAUUAACAGUAUGAGGGGCCAGUUUGUUUUCAAAGAGGAGAGAGUCUAUACUUACUUUUAGUUUGUCAUUAUAUCUAUUUUACGUGAAAUCUGGAUAAACUUUAAAAAUAGAUGAGAAAGUGACCAAAACAAGAGAUAAGCAUGCAUCUCCUUGGUACUGUGAGGCUUAUCCCAACUGACAGAAGUCAUCUUUCUAAUUGCAGAGACCAUUAUUAGAUGUAAAAUGACUUCAACCUGAU